AAAUAAUAUCACGAAAGAUUGUAAAGAAACUUAUAUACAUACAGGGCAGUUAACGGAUACAGUAGUAUUAGUAGUACCACAUGAAAGACAAAAAGAAAAUGGAAUAGAUAAAAUAAAUGGCACGGAUUUUUAUGCAAAAGAAAAAAAUAUAAAUGAGGAAGAAAUAUAUGAGAAGGAAAAAGAAAAAUUUAUAAAAGAAAAUGUAAAGGAUAAAAAUGAAGAAGGAACAUAUAAGAGUAUUUGUUUGGAUAACAAAAUAGAUAAUUGUACUGUUGAUAAUGAUUUUUGUGAUAUUUUUGGUAGCAUCAUAAAUGAUAAGGAUAUAUCAUUCUCAUGUAAUGAUUCAAAUAAAGAAAAAUAUGAAAAAGUAAAAGAACCAAUGUAUGACAUGGCUAUUAUAAAAAGUGUUGACGAAGUAAACCCUCCUUCACCAAUUGAAUUUACUUUUAGAUUGUUAAAAAAGUAUAUAGAAGAGAAGAAGAAGAAAAAAAAAAGUGUGUUACAAUUAAUAAAAGAAAAUAUGAUUCAAUAUACAGUAGCGUUAAAUUUACGAAUUGAAAAAAUUAUAAAAAAAAGAGACGAAGAAUAUAUAUUAAUUUUAAGUGAUAAUUUUGAUUAUAUAUAUUGUUUCAUAAAAGAUAUUUAUUUAAUUAAUUUAAUACUUUCAAAUGUAAUUAAAGAAAGUUAUAUAUUAAAAAUUAACUCACUGGAUUUAUAUGAAACAAAAACACAUGAUGAAAAUAAACUUGUAAAUACAGAUGAAAAUAAUGUAAUGAAAUUUUGCUUAUCUAGUAAUAAUUUAAUUGAUAUAAAUAAAAAAAAUGAAUUAAAAAUCGGCAUAUCCAAAUAUAAAUCCAAAAGAAUAAAAAAUAUAGAAGAUUUUGGUAAUAACUGUUUUUUUAUUGAUGUAAUAAUUAUAAGUAAAAGUGAUUUGUCUUAUGGAUAUUAUGACACAACAUUGAAUAAAUAUUUUAUUUUAAAUAAUUAUAUAUAUGAAAAAAUUGUAUAUAAUUUACAAACCCAACUAGCCCAAAUAGCACAUGAAGAUGAUUUUAACGAAAAUAAUAAAUAUGCAAAAUUAAAAAAUGAACUGCUAAUGCUCCGUGAUGCAACACCUUUAUUUACAAUACAGGCGAUAGAUAUUGCCUAUUUUGAACAAAUAAAAAAGGCAACUUGUUUCAAUGAUGAAAUAGAGCAUAUAAU
rnacentral:lncRNA from 1 species